rnacentral:rRNA from 1 species
AACCCCUGUGAACAUACCAUACUGUUGCUUCAGCGGAGCACCGCGCCAUAUAAACGGGCCGGCCCGCUAGAGGACCCCCAAACCUGUAUUAAUUUGUGGAUUCUGAGUACCUAUAAAUAAGUUAAAACUUUCAACAACGGAUCUCUUGGCUCUGGCAUCGAUGAAGAACGCAGCGAAAUGCGAUAAGUAAUGUGAAUUGCAGAAUCCAGUGAAUCAUCGAAUCUUUGAACGCACAUUGCGCCCGCCAGUAUUCUGGCGGGCAUGCCUGUCCGAGCGUCAUUUCACCCCUCAAGCCCUGGGCUUGGUGUUGGGGAUCGGCAUAACGGCCUCGCUAGAGGACGCGCCGGCCCCUAAAUUCAGUGGCGGUCUCGCUGCAGCCUCCGUUGCGUAGUAGCUAACACCUCGCAACCGGAACGCAGCGCGGCUAAGCCGUAAAACCCCCAACUUUUACUGAAUGUUGACCUCGGAUCAGGUAGGAAUACCCGCUGAACUUAAGCAUAUCAAAAAGCCGGGAGGAAA